UCGAUGAGUUAGCGGCGCGAGUCGCCAUUGUGCCAGCAGCCGCGGUAAUCCAGUCGAGCGAAUAGCGUAUAUUAAAGUUGUUGCAGUUAAGGAAGCCUGAGAGAGUGAACCUUGGGCCUGGCGUGGCCGGUCCGCCUCACCGCGUGUACUGGUCCGGCCGGGCCUUUCCUUCUGGGGAACCUCAUGCCCUUCACUGGGCGUGUUGGGGAACCAGGACUUUUACUUUGAAAAAAUUAGAGUGUUCAAAGCAGGCCUUUGCUCGAAUACAUUAGCAUGGAAUAAUAGAAUAGGACGUGUGGUUCUAUUUUGUUGGUUUCUAGGACCGCCGUAAUGAUUAAUAGGGAUAGUCGGGGGCAUCAGUAUUCAAUCGUCAGAGGUGAAAUUCUUGGAUUGAUUGAAGACUAACUACUGCGAAAGAAUUUGCCCAGGGAUGUGUUUCAUUAUCAGUGAACGAAAGUUAGGGGAUCGAAGACGAUCAGAUACCGUCGUAGUCUUAACCCAUAAACUAUGGCGACUAGGGAUCGGACGGUGUUGGAUUUUGACCCGUUCGGCACCUUACGAGAAAUCAAAGUUUUUGGGUUCUGGGGGGAGGAUGGGCGCAAGGCUGAAACUUAAAGAAAUUGACGGAAGGGCACCACCAAGGCGUGAAGCUGCGGCUUAAUUUGACUCAACCUCGGGGCACUUACCAGGUCCCGAACCCAUAAGGAUUGACAGAUUGAGAGCCCUUUCUUGAUUUUGUGUGUGGGGGGCAUGGCCGUUCUUUAGCUGCGGGGUGAUUUGCUGCUUAAUGCGAUAACGAACGAGACUUAACCUGUUAAUUGCCAGCGCCCGUUUGGGGGUCGCUGGUUCUUUAAGGACAAUCGGCCAAGCGAAGGAAGU
rnacentral:rRNA from 1 species